rnacentral:tRNA from 1 species
UGCGGAGUAGAGUACUCUGGUAGCUCGCAAGGCUCAUAACCUUGAGGUCACGGGUUCAAAUCUCGUCUUCGCCA